rnacentral:lncRNA from 1 species
CUCUUUAACCAUAUUUUGCUAGACAUGAACCAUAUCCUCCUCUAAGAAACUGUCAGAGCUCCAUAGUGGCUGGUGGUUGGGAAGUGAUUGAAAGUAUUCACCUCUUGCUCAUUUUAAAUGUUGGAUUUGGUUGGAAUUUGAGCAAAGCUGGGCAGUGGGUACAGCCCCAGCUUGCAGCAACAAGAAUGUUUCCAGAAGAAAAACAAAAAUUAUUAGUGAGUGAAGGACUUUUGGUUGGAAUUCCCUUUCCUUCCCUGCCCUGCUCAAAUUGGAUUACUUGCAGGAACAAAGGGAACAAGCAGCCCUGCUGCAGCAGACCAGUCCCAGGACUCCUUUCCUGGGUGCUGGAGGGAGAAUUUCCCUGGAGCUGGCUACAAGAAGGAAUGUCUGUACAGCCAUAUCUGGUAAUGUUCCUGAGCCUUACUGGGACCAUCCCUUUCCCUCCUCAGUCUGCAGGAGGGCCUGGGACAGGGAAUUUAGGUGGGCAAUGGAGUGGACAAGGUUUGUCAGCUCUGAGGAAAGUGCAUGGCCCAGGAGAGGCUGAAAAUGUUCAUGGUUUUCUUUCUGUAAAGAUUAAACUGAACUUCUUUGUGCAAAAAUUAAUGAUACUUAGUGCUGGGCUUGGUAGUGUUAGGUUAAUGUUUGGACUUGAUAAUCUUAAUUUUUUUUUUCCAAACCUAAAAUAUUCUGUGGUUCUAUAUGAUACAAGAGGACUGAAAUAUCUUUUAUUUUUCUCCCUAGCAAUCUUAUUAGCAGCAUUCAGCGAAGUGAACAUGUCCUCAGGGAUGCCCCAAGCAUGAACUCACAUCUGGGCAGUACCACCUCCAGGAUGGAGGGCACUGGGAGUCCUUCCUGGGGCUGUGGGGGUUUUUCAGGAUGUGCUGUUAUGCUUGUAGCUGUUGGGGAGUGGCUUCUCAGGAGGCUCCACCAGCCAUUUAUGAUGGGCUCAGCCACCUGAGCUUGCUGAGCCAGCCCUG